UGUUCCAGCAUUUGACAUAUUGUCAUAGGCUUUCCUACGGUACAGCCUCUAACAAAACUAGGCUGUCCUGAGCCCCUCGUAAUAGAAUUGUUGACCUCUAUACCUACAAAGUUGGGAAAGCACCAAAAUCUGCAUGUGGCGUGUGCCCAGGCAGACUUCAAGGGGUUCAUGUUGUGAGGUCUAAAGUUCUUAUGAGAUUGUCCAAAACAAAAAACAUGUCAGGAGGGCCUAUGGUGGUUCCAGGUAUGCUAAAUGUGUUCGUGGCAGGAUCAAGCCUGCUUUCCUUAUGCAGCAGCUAAAAAUCCUUAUGAAAGUGUUGAAGGCACAAGCACAGACUCAGAAAGCU
rnacentral:lncRNA from 1 species